AAAGGGAGACCUAAUUCAGGUAGGAGGCGAAAAAAAAGUAGUCGCUACCAAGAAUCAAUCCCAAAAGGUCGGAGCGAGGCGAAAUUGGCUUUCAAACUAGGUUCUGGGUUCAAACAAGACCUGAAUCAGGAACAAGGGCUAUUAGCUCAGGUGGUUAGAGCGCACCCCUGAUAAGGGUGAGGUCCCUGGUUCGAGUCCAGGAUGGCCCACCUGCACAGGUGGCAAAAACAAGAGAAGCGAGGAAUCAGCACCUUAUCUUACUUAUAUAGUAAGAGAGAAUGCUGGCUCUGAGUAAAGAGUCCAGAGGAACCUUGAAAACUGCAUAGAGCUAGGUGAAAAAGCCAAAAAAGAAGACCGCAAG
rnacentral:tRNA from 1 species